UACGGGGGGGGCAAGCGUUGUUCGGAAUUACUGGGCGUAAAGGGCUCGUAGGCGGCCAACUAAGUCGGAUGUGAAAUCCCCAGGCUUAACCUGGGAACUGCAUCCGAUACUGGAUGGCUUGAAUCCGGGAGAGGGAUGCAGAAUUCCAGGUGUAGCGGUGAAAUGCGUAGAUAUCUGGAGGAAUACCGGUGGCGAAGGCGGCAUCCUGGACUGACACUGACGCUGAGGCGCGAAAGCUAGGGGAGCAAACGGG
rnacentral:rRNA from 1 species